UACAGAGGGUGCGAGCGUUAAUCGGAAUUACUGGGCGUAAAGCGCACGUAGGUGGCGACGUAAGUCGGGUGUGAAAGCCCCGGGCUCAACCUGGGAAUUGCAUUCGAGACUGCAUUGCUGGAGUCCGGAAGAGGAGAGUGGAAUUCCUGGUGUAGCGGUGAAAUGCGCAGAUAUCAGGAAGAACACCCGUGGCGAAGGCGGCUCUCUGGGACGGUACUGACGCUGAGACGCGAAAGCGUGGGGAGCAAACAGG
rnacentral:rRNA from 1 species